ACGAAGUUAGCCGGGGCUUCUUCUCACGCUACCGUCAUUAUCGUCGCGUGCGAAAGAGCUUUACAACCCUAAGGCCGUCAUCACUCACGCGGCAUGGCUGGAUCAGGCUUGCGCCCAUUGUCCAAUAUUCCCCACUGCUGCCUCCCGUAGGAGUUUGGGCCGUGUCUCAGUCCCAAUGUGGCUGGCCAUCCUCUCAGACCAGCUACCGAUCGUCGCCUUGGUGAGCCAUUACCAACACCAACUAGCUAAUCGGACGCGGGCCAAUCCUUCGGCAGUAAACCUUUCUCCUCACGGACGUAUCCGGUAUUAGCUCGAGUUUCCCCAAGUUAUCCCAGACCAAAGGGUAUGUUCCCAGCGUUACUCACCCGUCUGCCACUCCCCUGCGGGCUUCGACUUGCAUGUGUAAGCCUGCCGCCAGCGUUCGUUCUGAGCCAGGAUCAAACUCU
rnacentral:rRNA from 1 species